rnacentral:rRNA from 1 species
UACGUAGGUGGCAAGCGUUAUCCGGAAUUACUGGGCGUAAAAGCGCACGCAGGGCGGUCUUUUUAAGUUUGACGUGAAAGCUCCCGGCUUAACUGGGAGAGGUCGUUGAAUACUGGAAGACUUGAGGCAAUGAGAGGGGUGUAGAAUUCCCGGUGUAGUGGUGGAAUGCGUAGAUAUCGGGAGGAACACCCGUAGCGAAGGCGGCACACUGGGCCGGUACUGACGCUGAGGAGCGAAAGCCAGGGGAGCAAACGGG